UAGGCGACCGCCCACAGCCGG
rnacentral:misc_RNA from 1 species